ensembl:Mt_tRNA
CAGGAAGUAGUUUAAUAAGAAUAUCAGCUUUGGGUGUUGAUGGUAGGGCGUGUUGUCCUUUUCUUGA